GUGCCAGCCGCCGCGGUAAUACGGAGGGUGCGAGCGUUAUUCGGAAUUACUGGGCGUAAAGCGCGUGCAGGCGGUCUUGUAAGUCUGAUGUGAAAGCCCCGGGCUUAACCUGGGAAGUGCAUUGGAUACUGCUCGACUUGAGUUCUGGGGAGGAAGGGAGAAUUCCCGGUGUAGAGGUGAAAUUCGUAGAGAUCGGGAGGAACAUCAGUGGCGAAGGCGCCCUUCUGGACAGCAACUGACGCUGAGACGCGAAAGCGUGGGGAGCAAACAGGAUUAGAAACCCUCGUAGUCC
rnacentral:rRNA from 1 species